AUGAACGCUGGCGGCGUGCCUAAUACCUGCCAGUCGAGCGAACGGACGAGAAGCUUGCUUCUCUGAUGUUAGCGGCGGACGGGUGAGUAACACGUGGAUAACCUACCUAUAAGACUGGGAUAACUUCGGGAAACCGGAGCUAAUACCGGAUAAUAUUUUGAACCGCAUGGUUCAAAAGUGAAAGACGGUCUUGCUGUCACUUAUAGAUGGAUCCGCGCUGCAUUAGCUAGUUGGUAAGGUAACGGCUUACCAAGGCAACGAUGCAUAGCCGACCUGAGAGGGUGAUAGGCCACACUGGAACUGAGACACGGUCCAGACUCCUACGGGAGGCAGCAGUAGGGAAUCUUCCGCAAUGGGCGAAAGCCUGACGGGGCAACGCCGCGUGAGUGAUGAAGGUCUUCGGAUCGUAAAACUCUGUUAUUAGGGAAGAACAUAUGUGUAAGUAACUGUGCACAUCUUGACGGUACCUAAUCAGAAAGCCACGGCUAACUACGUG
rnacentral:rRNA from 1 species